CACAGUCAAAUAAGCAAAAUAUUAUAAGUGCAGUUAUCUGAAAAGCCAUCAUCAUCCUUAUUCUUCCGGAUAUGUUUCCUCGACCAGAUAUAGCCUUAAAAUGCUGAUGCGGGGUAAAGCAAUCACCAAUCAUCAAAAUGGAUGUUUCGCAGAAAUCGUUGACACGACAAAUAUGAAACUGUUAUGUCAGUUGGAUUUUGG
rnacentral:lncRNA from 1 species